ensembl:ncRNA lncRNA:CR45390 long non-coding RNA:CR45390
GAAUGGAGGCCUACUCCGAAUCGGAAGACAUGAGCCCAUAAAACGUUUUCGGCAAAAUGUUCAUCAAGUAGCCAUACAAUAAAUAAUAGAACAGUCAGAUACAUUUGACAUGGAACCAUAAAAAUGCAGCCACCCCAAUAGAGCUCCCUCAAAGAAGACAACACCAGCUCAUUCAAAUUGUUGCCAUGUGCACAUAAGGAGCAGACAAAGGAUAUAAAGUAAAUGAAGCGCCUCGCAAAAUGCAGACUCCAGAUGAGUAGUGGCACAUCCCAGACGAUGGGGCGAGUAUUUCAUUCUAUUUCCAUUUUCACAUACUCGUUUCUCAGUUGCCAUUCAAAGGCGAAGAAGGCACAUCCACAGUUGAAAUCGAAAUCAAUUGUUAUACACAAUGAAAACUGUUUUCCUACACAAUAAAUGCUUACCGCACACUUUGGG